rnacentral:SRP_RNA from 1 species
UGUCGGUCCCCUCGCAACGUGAAGCUGUGAACUCCGCCAGGCCCGGAAGGGAGCAACGGCAGCAGCGGAAUCGUGUGCCGGGGUGUGGCUGGCGUGA